AUCUUCAGUCUACACAGAAGCACUUGAGGCAACAAGAACUUUGAGCUACAAGCUUGAAGAUGUCUUGCUGUGGUGGAAGCUGCUCCUGCGGUUCCUGCGGCUGCGGUGUGAUGUACCUUGGCUUCGAUGAGAACACUAGCAACACCCCAGGAACCAUGGUCCUUGGUGUUUCAGCUGAGAAGGGCAGGGCUGGAGAAGUGCCAGAGAAGGCUACGGAAUCCGGCGAGGCUGGCUAUGGCUAUGGCUGCAGCUGCGGCUCCGGCUGCAGCUGCAGCCCCUGCAGCUGCUGAAGAGGCCGGGAUGUACACACACAUGCCUGACUGCACAUGAUCUACUCUACUACUAGUAAAUAAGAAGCCAUUUGAUGGAAUGGCUCAAGAUCAUGUCAGGCUUGGGUGCUUGCUGGUCUCCUAUUACUGUACUGCUGUGUCUUGUGAAACCAAAUGACUACCAUGUGGCCUUGUGAGUUGUGACUGGGAAAGGAAAAUUUCAGGUUUCCAAGCUACUCUGUAUCUGCAUGUACUGUGCUGUUUCAGUGAAAAUUGUGGUGUGAAAUUAAUACAGUCUGGUUAGUUUGCGCAUA